rnacentral:rRNA from 1 species
GAAGAACGAGUGAGGCGUGCUUAACACAUGCAAGUCGAACGGUGAAGGGAUCAGCUUGCUGGUUCUGGAUGAGUGGCGAACGGGUGAGUAACACGUGAGUAACCUGCCCCCUUCUUCUGGAUAACCGCAUGACAGUGUGGCUAAUACGGGAUAUUCUGCGCCUGCUGCAUGGUGGGUGUGGGAAAUAUGUUGUUUCGGUGGGGGAUGGGCUCGCGGCGUAUCAGCUUGUUGGUGGGGUGCUGGCCUGCCAAGGCGGUGACGAGUAGCGGGCCGGAGAGGGGGGGCGGUCACAGUGGGACUGAGCCACUGGCGAGAGUGAUACGGGCGGCAGCCGUGGGGAAUACAGCAGAAUGGGAGCAUGCAUGAUGCAGCGACGCCGGGUGAGGGAAGGCGGCCUGCGGGUUGUGAACCUCUUGGGCGAGUGACGCAGGCCUGUGCGUCGUGGGUGGGUUGACGGUAGCUGGAUAAGAAGCGCCGGCUAACUACGUG